GACGAACCCGUGCGAACGUUAUUCGGAAUCACUGGGCUUAAAGAGCGCGUAGGCGGCUUCGUAAGUCGAGGGUGAAAUCCCACCGGCUCAACCGUGGAAUUGCCCUCGAAACUGCGUGGCUUGAGGGAGGUAGGGGCACGUGGAACUUCCGGUGGAGCGGUGAAAUGCGUUGAGAUCGGAAGGAACGCCGGUGGCGAAAGCGGCGUGCUGGAUCUCCCCUGACGCUGAGGCGCGAAAGCCAGGGUAGCGAACGGGAUUAGAUACCCUUGUAGU
rnacentral:rRNA from 1 species